UGACUUUAGUUAAUCAAGCACAAAAUAAGAAAAUAGUUUAACUAACGAUGAAACCCAAGUGAGUGAUGUUUCUUAUAUUUCAAGUCAAAACUUUGUUUCAGCCAAUAAAUUGUGAGACUCUGCUUAUCAACUUGCUUAUGCCAAAGAGUCAGUGCCAUCUAGUAGAAAAAAUAAAUGUUAAGCCUAGUGAAUAAAUUGUCAGGUUUAUCAAGUAGAGAAACCCGAAAUUACUUUAAAACCUGUUCCACGAAAAAAAGUUUUUCAGCUUCCAUGUCUUUUCAUCUUUUAUAAUUUGAAGUAAACAAUAGAACAUUGGAAUGGUUCUAAUGACAAAGAAAAUAACAAUUUUGUUGUUGUACUCAUAGACAAUGGAUAAUGACUGUUGUGAUUAUUUGUCUUGGUUCUCUUCUUUACUUACCCAUCAUUUGGAACUCAACUCUUUCUCUCGGAAUUGUCAAUGCCAAUUGACUGGCCUUGAAUCAACUUGAAAACAAUGUUAAUGUAAAAUUUACUACAUUACUAGACCAGUUUCGGCUCCUUUCUAGGACUACUUAACCAGAACCUGAAUCAUUAGUGAAUAAAUAUCGUUCUGGGCAUGUGAAUUCUGGAUACUUUAUUGGCUAAUUUAGCGGUUAAUUUUUGUUUACUGAAUGGAUCGAUGAAAGAAGUAAAUGGUUGAUUAAUUAGAAUCAGUUUAUUACAAUGAAACCGGAUGCUUAUUCAAUUGAUAUGAUGCUCAUGACAAUUUAAUGAAACCGGAUGGAGAUACUUAUAAAGUGAUACAUUGUUUUGUCUCUACUUGGUUCCCAUUAAUGCAGCAAAUUCAGUCUUUUUUGUCAGACUUUCACCAAACUUUUACAUGUCAAGCUGAAUUGGAUUUAGAAGAUGCAAUGUUAACCUCGAUAAGGAUGAAAAUGUGCUGAUUGAAUACUAGCAAUAUGCUAAUCAAGUUGAUUUAAAACAGACUUUUAGGCAAUUGAUAUUGUCAUGUGUUUGUCUAUUUUAUCAUUGAUUUCAAUCAAAUCGUUUGACACAAUUGUAAUCUCUUCUUGUUUCCAUGACAAACAAAAAUACAAUUGAGAAUUAUUAACUCUAUUGAUUUCAUGAUUUCCGUUGGGAAAAUGUUAAGAGAGGCAAAAAUAUCCCUGAUUGACAGUUUAGUAAAUAGUGAAAAAUCAAUGAAGCAUAUUCAAUUCAUUAAUAAGCUUGAAAAAUUUUUACAUGAAAGAGUUGAUUCAAUACUAAUAAAAACUCAACAAUCUACAUCAAGUUGAGAAAUUUAUGUCCUUUAA